UUUUUAUUUUUUGAUUAUAAUUGGUUUACAGUGUUCUGUCAAUUUUAUACUGUACAGCAAAGUGACCCAGUCACACACACACACCUAUAUACAUUCUUUUUCUCACAUUAGCAUCGAUCAUGUUCCAUCACAAGUGAUUAGAUAUAGUUCCCUGUGCUAUACAGCAGGAUCUCAUUGCUUACCCACUCCAAAUACAACAGAAUGCAUCUAUAAACCCCAGACUCCCAGUUCAUUCCACUCCCUCCCCCUCCGCCUUGGCAACCACAAAUCUCUUCUCCAAGUCCACGCGUUUCUCUUCUGUGGAAAGGUUUACUUGUGCCACAUAUUAGAUUCCAGAUAUAAGUGAUGUCGUAUGGCAUUUGGCUUUCUCUUUCUGACUUACUUCAUUCAGGAUGAGAGUCUCUAGUUCCAUCCAUGUUGCUGCAUAUGGCAUUAUUUUGUUCUUUUUUAUGGCCGAGUAGUAUUAUAUUGCGUAUAUAUACUACAUGUUCUUAAUCCAUUCAUCCGUCGAUGGACAUUUAGGUUGUUUCCAUGUCUUGCCUAUUGUGAACAGUGAUGCAAUGAACAUACAGGUGCAUAUGUCUUUUUCAAGGAAAGUUUUACCCAGAUAUAUGCCCAAGAGUGGGAUUGCUGGGUCACAUGGUAGUUCUAUACUUAGUUUUCUGAGUACCUCCAUACUGUUUUCCAUAGUGCUUGCACCAAUUUACAUUCCCAACAGUGUAGGAGGGUAUCCUUUUCUCCACAUUCUCUCCAGCAUUUGUUAUUUGUUGACUUAUUAAUGAUGGCCAUUCUGACCAGUGUGAGGUUGUACCUCAAGCAGUUUUGAUUUGUAUUUCUCUAAUAAUUAGUGGUGCUUCGUUUGAAACUAUUUUCUCCCAUUCCAUAGGUUGUCUUUUUGGUUUUUUUAUGGUUUCCUUUGCUGUGCAAAAGCUUGACAGUUUUGAUUAGGUCCCACUGGUUUAUUUUUGCCCUUUUAUUUUUGUCUUUUUGCUUGUAUAGUUGUUUGUUUUAAGGGCUGAACCCGCUUAUAGCAGUUCCCAGGCUAGGGAUACGGCCCUAAAAAAAGAAAAAAAAAUAAGAGUUUAGUUUUUGCUGUACAGUAGAAAUUGAAGAACACUGUAAACGAACUAUAAUGGAAAAAAAUAAAAAUCAUUAAAAAAAAAGAUAGCUUUUGUUUUUGUUUUGUUUUUCCCACAGAUCUCAUUCACAUUCCCAGAUCACAAUUACCCAAUGAAUGCAUUUGCUAUAUUCUAUCCCCUGGAGUAAGUUGCAUUCCAGGCAGUCUGGCCCUUUUUGCCCCCACAUGUGUCUGAUUUCCUUCUCUGUUAAAUUGGAGGAUCACACAGGACUAUGGCACUGCCUCAGGGGCCCCUUGGGCAUGGGAUGCCUUGUCCAUGUCAGGGUUGUACAGAGUAAAACAUUAUUAGCAGUGACAACAUAUAUAGAUCUACAUGGCAGCUGGACCAAGGUAAGAGCACCUCACUUCUGGGUACCAACCAAACACCAUGAGGAGCUAGAAGAUUAGAACUAAAGUUAAUGGCUAGUUCCUGUUGUGGCUCAGUGGUAAUGAAUCUGACUGGCAUCCAUGAGGAUGCUGGUUUAAUCCCUGGCCUUGCUCAGUGGACUAACGAUCCAGCAUUGCCAUGAACUGUGUUAGAGGUCACAGACAUGGCUUGGAUCUGGCAUUGCUGUGGCUGUGGCAUAGGCCAGCAGCUGCAGCUCUGAUUCAACCCCUAGUCUGGGAACUUCCAUAUGCUCCACCUGCAGCCCUAAAAACAAACAAAAAACCUAAGGGUAAUGGAAGAAGAGAGAUGUAAGAAAUGAAUCAAGGAGCAUGAGGUAGUGGUGAUUACUUGCACAGAUGUUGUUAGUUUACUGUGGCUUUUCCUGUAGUGUUCUUGGCUUGUUGGGAGUGGUAGGAGCUGAAGGAAAAUGGACAGUGCAUAUUUGAAAUUUUUGCUUUUGCCCAACUCUGCUUUUUCUUCUCUCCUUAUGCCAUCCAACUCUUCAUCCUAUGCACAUGUCUCACUUCCCACCCCCAACAAAAGCUUUCUGGAAUUAUAACUCACAGCCAUGUCUGUCCCUCUCAUUUGACACUUGAACAGAGAUUGACUUGAGAUAUGGCCACUGUUUGGGAGCUGUGAUUUCACAACAAGACUGAGACACAUAAUCUCUUCUCCACUCAAUAAACAUAUGCCCUCAUGCUCAGGAAAAAGAUAAAUUAUCUUUAAAAUGAUGAAUCCAAUAUGCACAUGCCAAAGAAGCAAUCUUUAUUCUAUGUUAAUUUAGUUGUUCCCUUUUCUAUAAAAAUCUAACAGUUGAAAGUUAUUUUGCUUUAGGAUUACACAAAUGGAAUGUUUAGAUUUUAAUUAACAAUUAAAUUGAUCAUUUUAAAACUUUUGGAACAUAUAUUUGCAUAUAAUUGCUCUCAAUCUACUUAUGAAAAAUCCAAAGCCUGCAUCCCCAAAUACAGAAUACCUAUUCAUGUCAGCUUUAGUUACAUGUGUACAUUUAUUUGACUAUGUGGAGUGUGUGCUUUUAUUGCCAAGACCGUCAGCUCAGUUUCUUAAUCGUCGCUAUAACCACAAUUCGGGAAAUUCUAUUGCAACAUCAAUCUGUUCUGCACAUCUUUAAUUAGGCCAGUGUGGCCUGUCUGUCACAGUAACGGAUGCUAAGUAUUCUUAUUUAGCCUACUUGAGGCUUUAAGAUGUUCUCAUUUUUUAAAGAGACAUAUUUCGGCCUGAUGACAUUGUUAAGCAAAUCAAUACACAGCCCUACGAUUUGCUGUGUUCCAGAAAUUCUGUGCUUGUUCACUUGCUGCAUCUUUAGACACCACAGGAAAGGGCACCCUUCCCCAAAUACUGAAAUCCUCAGCAGCUCUAGUUGUGAUGACUCUCUUAUCAGAUCGAAGGGAGACAUCUGUCACCCCGACAGAUCACCAGGAAGAUCUGCCUGGCAUCCUAUUGAUCCCCGGAGCCUGAUUCUCUUAUCAAGUAGUUAAUGCAAAUAAGUUGAGGGUUGUUUGCUCCGAGCAAUGACUUCACACCAGGUCACCAACAAAAAAGACAACACAAGGACUGAUGCCAUGGUCUGGAAACGACAAAGAGAAUUUAGCCUAAAGUUCACUUCCUUCUCUUUCCUCAGAGCAAGCCAUGAUCUCAACAGGGAGAAACAAUGAUUACCUGGAACAAAGCCCUGCAGUAUUUUAGACUUUUAUACCGUCUUUCUGCCACAAUUAAUUUAAAAUGAAUCACUAAAAUUUGCAUUAAGGAGAGAGCAGAGUUCUCAGGAUAUUGCCGAACACGGGUACUGGGAUUUUUUUAAAAACGGAUAUGGAGGUGUUACAUGGUUUUCACUAUAUUCAAGGUCAAAUGAUAAUACAGUAAAUUAUUAAAAUAUAAAAAGCUAUAGGUGGAGGUCUCUCAAAUUCAGUCCUAUGAAAAUGGAGGGUUGCAUUAUCAACCAGCAGUGACAUGAGAGGGCAAGUCUGAGCAGAUGGCUGAUGAGGAUUAAAAUAGGAGUAGGAUGCAGGGGACAUGCAUAUAGGCCCUAUUGCAAAGUCUAAAUCUUUCCUGGUCCCAACUUCAGCAUGGCAGUACCUCCUCCUGGUUGUUGUCAGCUCAAAGUACUGAUGAGGAAUUUGGGUUCUGCGGUCAGCAGGGACUCUCGGAAUCUCAGCACUCACGGAGUUAGCCGGCACUCAUUUUGCUUUCCUGCCUGUCAAGACCUCUCCUCCCCCAAAGGUAAGAACUUUUAGUCUGUACACAUCAAGAAAGGGAAAGGCAACAGGAAAAAGGAUAGGAGCCAAUCACCAAAUGCAUUAUAUUUAGACUGGCAUUGUUAUGGUGGGAUGGGCAUUUUAAUUCUUUCAAUUUAACUCUGCAACACUAGUCCAUAGUUUUCACGACAUGCUCCUUUUUUUAUGAGUAUGGAGCAGGAAAUAAGAAAAAAAAAAAAAAAAACAAAAAAAAACUCCAGCAGUAGGAAAUAUAAGCAAAUGCACCUUUUUCUCUCUCCUGUGUUCUUUGUACUUUUAUGUCUUAUACUUCCUUUGGGAAUAGAUCAUUCAAAAACUAGGUGAAUUGAUAAAAUGAGGCCGAGCAGGAAUAAUACAAUUUACCAUAUGUGAGGCCUUCAUGACAGACUAUCACAGAUUCAUGAGACUCCUAUACUUCCACUGAUGUCAGGCCAAAGGGACCAGAACUGAUCUCAUUUUUAAAGAUAAUAAGAGAAACAGAGUUUUCUCCCAAGCAACUCAGCUCUCCACUGUCCACGAGAUCGUCAGUCUAAUUCUUCCACUCUCAGCUCCUGCCUCUAUUUAAUGGUAUUGAAAAGACAUUCUUUCUUGUAAACGUUUCUGGCCACAAAAAUCUUUGCCUAGGUGGCAGCAAUAGCUGGUCCAACAGAGGCAUCAGGGGAUAAAACUAUCAUCAACAAUGAUCAUGUUUGCAAAUGCUCUAAAUCUGGAAAUCACUGCUGGCAUAUCUAUAUGUGUUUAAAAAAAAUUCAUAGAAGUCUGGUAGAUUCUUGAAAGCAUGAGCUUUCUUCCGAGAAACCUCUGAGAAAAACCUCAAGGACCAUGGUUUUAAAAUAAAUAGAUUCCCUUGGUGACCACUUGACUCAGCUCAGCCAACUGCUGACCCUUCUCCAGAUUAGAAUAGAGUGAUCAGGGACAUAGGAGUGUGGUUAUCUUUAAACCAAGAUUUGAGGGCCACUAUUAUGGCUAUUUGCUCCAGAACAUCAAAUCCACCACUCAUCAUUUUAGCUAUAUUACUUUGCCUCUUGAAGAUUUUUUUCUUCCCAAGUCUUAUUUAAUGCAACUAUCUUUAGGUAGGAUUGCACUUGAAACCAUUACUUGGUGAGGGUCAAAGCACAGAGCACAUGAGAGUAAGUGCAGAGCACAGAUAUGGGGGUAGAGAAGGGCAGAAUUCUGAGAAGAAAAGAUGAAAUUAAUAAAGUGAGAAGUAGAGAGCCACCAAAUUU
rnacentral:lncRNA from 1 species